rnacentral:rRNA from 1 species
UACGUAGGGGGCAAGCGUUGUCCGGAAUCAUUGGGCGUAAAGCGCGUGUAGGCGGUUCGGUAAGUCUGCUGUGAAAGUCCAGGGCUCAACCCUGGGAUGCCGGUGGAUACUGUCGGGCUAGAGUGCGGAAGAGGCGAGUGGAAUUCCUGGUGUAGCGGUGAAAUGCGCAGAUAUCAGGAGGAACACCAAUUGCGAAGGCAGCUCGCUGGGACGUAACUGACGCUGAGACGCGAAAGCGUGGGGAGCAAACAGGAUUAGAAACCCCC